rnacentral:sRNA from 1 species
UAUGCUAUGUAUGCCACGAAUACAAUUUG